UACGUAGGGGGCAAGCGUUGUCCGGAUUUAUUGGGCGUAAAGAGCGUGUAGGCGGCUUGGUAGGUCCGCUGUGAAAACUCGAGGCUCAACCUCGAGAUGUCGGCGGAAACCACUUGGCUAGAGUCCGGAAGAGGAGAGUGGAAUUCCCGGUGUAGCGGUGAAAUGCGCAGAUAUCGGGAAGAACACCAGUGGCGAAGGCGACAUACUGGCUCAUUACUGACGCUGAGGCUCGAAAGCGUGGGGAGCAAACAGG
rnacentral:rRNA from 1 species